rnacentral:tRNA from 1 species
GCCCUCAUAGCUCAGUGGAGCGGGAAGUUUCUACGUCUCGUGGCGUGGGUUCAAGUCCUGUCGAGGGCA